rnacentral:rRNA from 1 species
AUUGAACGCUGGCGGCAUGCCUUACACAUGCAAGUCGAACGGCAGCACGGGUGCUUGCACCUGGUGGCGAGUGGCGAACGAGUGAGUAAUACAUCGGAACAUGUCCUGUAGUGGGGGAUAGCCCGGCGAAAGCCGGAUUAAUACCGCAUACGAUCUACGGAUGAAAGCGGGGGACCUUCGGGCCUCGCGCUAUAGGGUUGGCCGAUGGCUGAUUAGCUAGUUGGUGGGGUAAAGGCCUACCAAGGCGACGAUCAGUAGCUGGUCUGAGAGGACGACCAGCCACACUGGGACUGAGACACGGCCCAGACUCCUACGGGAGGCAGCAGUGGGGAAUUUUGGACAAUGGGCGAAAGCCUGAUCCAGCAAUGCCGCGUGUGUGAAGAAGGCCUUCGGGUUGUAAAGCACUUUUGUCCGGGAAGAAAUCCUUGGCCCUAAUACGGUCGGGGGAUGACGGUACCGGAAGAAUAAGCACCGGCUAACUACGUG